AAACGCUUGAAGUCAGUCGCGUCUUCAGAAAUUCAGCCAGGCUUUUGCCUGGUGUACUUUUCUGUUGGACGGGCCAGCAUCAGUUUUGGCCGCCAGAAAAAGGUGGGAGGAAGGUGGCACCUCCGGGUGUGUUAUAGCCUCUCAUCGUAUGUGGCGGCUGGGACUGAGGACCGCAGCACGCCUUUAUGGCCGGGGUUCGCCCACGUAACGUGCUUAGGAUGCUGGCGUAAUGGCUUUAAGCGACCCGUCUUGAAACACGGACCAAGGAGUCUAACAUGCCUGCGAGUAUUUGGGUGGUAAACCCAUAUGCGGAAUGAAAGUGAACAGUUGGGACUUCUGUCAUGGAAGGCACCGACGCCCGGACCAGACCUAUUGUGACGGAUCCGAGGUAGAGCAUGUAUGUUGGGACCCGAAAGAUGGUGAACUAUGCCUGAGUAGGGUGAAGCCAGAGGAAACUCUGGUGGAGGCUCGUAGCGAUUCUGACGUGCAAAUCGAUCGUCGAACUUGGGUAUA
rnacentral:rRNA from 1 species